GCGCAGUAACGUUAGAGACGAAUGGACCGUUUGCGAUCCACUUUUAAAGGCACAAGAACCACAGGGUGAUUCAAUGGAGCCUGAAGACCUUGCAAUUAGACGGCCCCCUUACCCUGCACCUGCAAUGAGACAGCACCCUCACCCUCACCCUGCACCCUGAGUCUCAACUCUAAAUGAGCCUUUCCCUGUUCCUUAUUUUUAAUAAACCAAACAUUAAGCUUUUCAA